GAAAGCUUAGUUAAAUAUAUAACAUUUAAAUGUCAUUUAAAAAUUAUAAUUAAAAAUUUAUAACUUUUU
rnacentral:tRNA from 1 species